rnacentral:rRNA from 1 species
AUUGAACGCUGGCGGCAGGCCUAACACAUGCAAGUCGAACGAGUGGCGGACGGGUGAGUAAUGUCUGGGAAACUGCCCGAUGGAGGGGGAUACCUACUGGAAACGGUAGCUAAUACCGCAAACCAUCGGAUGUGCCCAGAUGGGAUUAGCUAGUAGGUGGGGUAACGGCUCACCUAGUCGACGAUCCCUAGCUGGUCUGAGAGGAUGACCGGCCACACUGGAACUGAGACACGGUCCAGACUCCUACGGGAGGCAGCAGUGGGGAAUAUUGCACAAUGGGCGAAAGCCGGAUGGAGCCAUGCCGCGUGUAUGAAGAAGGCCUUCGGGUUGUAAAGUACUGUCAGCGAGGAGGCGUUACUCGCAGAAGAAGCACCGGCUAACUCCGUGCCAGCAGCCGCGGUAAUUC